rnacentral:rRNA from 1 species
UCCGGGCUACACACGUGCUACAAUGGCAGGUACAGAGGGCUGCGAAGCCGCGAGGUGGAGCGAAUCCCAGAAAACCUGUCUCAGUCCGGAUUGAAGUCUGCAACUCGACUUCAUGAAGGCGGAAUCGCUAGUAACCGCGAAUCAGCAGGUCGCGGUGAAUACGUUCCCGGGCCUU